UACGUAGGUGGCAAGCGUUUGUCCGGAUUUACUGGGCGUAAAGAGCGCGCAGGCGGUCGUUCAAGUCGGAUGUGAAAGCCCCCCGGCUCAACUGGGGAGGGUCAUUCGAUACUGAUCGACUUGAAGGCAGGAGAGGGAAGCGGAAUUCCCGGUGUAGAGGUGAAAUUCGUAGAUAUCGGGGAGGAACACCAGUGGCGAAGGCGGCGACCUGGGCCAAUAUUGACGCUGAGGUGCGAAAGCGUGGGGAGCAAACAGG
rnacentral:rRNA from 1 species